rnacentral:rRNA from 1 species
CAGUGUCUGGUGGGUAGUUUGACUGGGGCGGUCUCCUCCUAAAGAGUAACGGAGGAGCACGAAGGUUGGCUAAUCCUGGUCGGACAUCAGGAGGUUAGUGCAAUGGCAUAAGCCAGCUUGACUGCGAGCGUGACGGCGCGAGCAGGUGCGAAAGCAGGUCAUAGUGAUCCGGUGGUUCUGAAUGGAAGGGCCAUCGCUCAACGGAUAAAAGGUACUCCGGGGAUAACAGGCUGAUACCGCCCAAGAGUUCAUAUCGACGGCGGUGUUUGGCACCUCGAUGUCGGCUCAUCACAUCCUGGGGCUGAAGUAGGUCCCAAGGGUAUGGCUGUUCGCCAUUUAAAGUGGUACGCGAGCUGGGUUUAGAACGUCGUGAGACAGUUCGGUCCCUAUCUGCCGUGGGCGCUGGAGAACUGAGGGGGGCUGCUCCUAGUACGAGAGGACCGGAGUGGACGCAUCACUGGUGUUCGGGUUGUCAUGCCAAUGGCACUGCCCGGUAGCUAAAUGCGGAAGAGAUAAGUGCUGAAAGCAUCUAAGCACGAAACUUGCCCCGAGAUGAGUUCUCCCUGACUCCUUGAGAGUCCUGAAGGAACGUUGAAGACGACGACGUUGAUAGGCCGGGUGUGUAAGCGCAGCGA